ensembl:lncRNA
CUCAGUGCCCCCUCCAGUUCCUAGCUCUCCCCCUGGUGCCCAUGCUCCCACUUUUUUCCACCUGGUACAGCCUCCUCCUGCUCCCAACCCCGGGGUGCUGGCUUCAGCUUCAGCUGCUGCCUCCUUCCUUGAGGCACCCCAUACCUAUACACCCCUCAACCAGUAUUCCUGAUGCUCCAGGAGCCAUCCCCAAGGUAUUUCCAGGAUUCCAAGGAAUCCAGGCUUUUUCACUUGGAAUGCAGGCCUGCUGGAAUGUGCAGUUAGGAUCUGUAGCAUCAAGAGGCCCCAUCACCUCACUGCCCACCCCCAUGCCUGCUCACCAGCUGCUCCUGUCCAUCUUCUCCUCCCACUCUCCUUGUAUCUCUCCCUCCUCCACACUGACCCCUCCCCCAGCCUCUGACCCCCAGCCGCCUGGGGCCUGGGUUGGAGGGGAGACAAAGACAGGAUUUAUUACCGGGAUAGAGAAGCAGCCAGAGACCAGGGCUGAGGGCAAUGGCUGACCUCCCUGGAUGGGAGGGAGUGCUUGGCCAGAUGCUGGAAGGUGGAAAGCCUGGGUUCUAGUGGCUCCUGCUCACAACACUCGCCCCCUCACCCUUUCCCCUACUCAAACCUUGCUUUCUCCUUUGUUCUUGAAGAUUGAGGAAAGAGAGGAUGGCCUCAGGUGAUUUUAGGACCUUGAAGAACAACCUGGGAGAAGAGAAGACGGGAGACGGAUGUCUUAUGGAUACUGGGGAGGAUCUGGAAACCAGGCAGCAAUCAGGUUCCUAUUAUUUCCUGGACUAGAAAGGAGUUCAGGUUUAGUAAUGCAACAGAUGAAAUGAGAUGGAGACGUAUCCCCCAAUCUAGAGGGACUUCUCCAGAACAGGCCCUGAUUGCCAGCAAAGAGGGAAUAAAGGUGACUGUAGAUCUUGAAAGAUGGAAGAU